rnacentral:rRNA from 1 species
GAUGAACGCUGGCGGCGUGCCUAAUACAUGCAAGUCGAGCGAACGGACGAGAAGCUUGCUUCUCUGAUGUUAGCGGCGGACGGGUGAGUAACACGUGGAUAACCUACCUAUAAGACUGGGAUAACUUCGGGAAACCGUAGCUAAUACCGGAUAAUAUUUUGAACCGCAUGGUUCAAAAGUGAAAGACGGUCUUGCUUUCACUUAUAGAUGGAUCCGCGCUGCAUUAGCUAUUUGGUAAGGUAACGGCUUACCAAGGCAACGAUGCAUAGCCGACCUGAGAGAGUGAUCGGCCACACUGGAACUGAGACACGGUCCAGACUCCUACGGGAGGCAGCAGUAGGGAAUCUUCCGCAAAGGGCGAAAGCCUGACGGAGCAACGCCGCGUGAGUGAUGAAGGUCUUCGGAUCGUAAAACUCUGUUAUUAGGGAAGAACAUAUGUGUAAGUAACUGUGCACAUCUUGACGGUACCUAAUCAGAAAGCCACGGCUAACUACGUG